rnacentral:lncRNA from 10 species
GGAUGAAGCCUCACUAUGUUGCCCAGGCUGGUCUUGAACUCCUGGGCUCAAGGGAUCCUCCUGCCUUGCCCUCCCGAAGUGUUGGGGUUACAGGUGUGAGCCACCGCACCCGGCCUAGACCCAAUUUAGUCCUUUAUGGAUUUGAAAUGAUUUGGUAAAGUUUAAUAUAAAGUAUCAUGUUAUGAUGACUUCUGCUGUUCCUUCUCUUGCUGAUCUUAUUAUUUGGGCAUCUCCUGGUGUGGAAAGGGAAUGAUAAGGAUGAUGGUAAUUCUCGGUGCUGGUGCAGAUGAAGGGAGGUAUGUCCUCUCAGAUAGCCUAUGUAGACAUUGAUGCACUCAGUCCAGAUAGCUGCUGUUAGAUAUCACAAUGCAAAGUGUGCAUAGCCUUCUACCCAGAAAGUCCACAAAGAUGUGCUAACUGAUGCAAUAGCUGUCAUUCUUUCCCUCAUUGCAUGAAGAAGUACAGGGUCCACGACAGGUUGUUAGUAACUUGACUGAAGCACUAAUUACAACUGGGCCUAAGCUGGGAGACUGUCUCCUAAGAACUAGACACUCAUGGAGUGAAUGGCUAAGUGAGCCUAGCCAACCACUUAACGUUUCAACCUCAAGUUGGUUUUAUUAUCCUCUGCUUAAUUUAUAAAUAGUAACUCCUGAGCUGCUAAAGACUUUAUUCCUUUGUGAAAAAUACUCUAGAGAAGAAAGGCAAUUAUUAGUGCUAUUGAUGGAGGUAAAUAUUCUGAGGGUUAUUAGCCAGAAAAUAGAAAUUUUGGCUAAAUUAAUAGGUAUUAAAUUUGGUAGUGGCUUGGGUCUGUAGUGGAAUGAAGCUAUCAAAAAGAAAAAACUAAUUAGCUGGGCGUGAUGGGAUGUGCCUGUCUUCCCAGCUACCCGGGAGAGUAAGGUGGGAAGAUCGCUUGAGCCUGAGAGGUUGAGGUUGCAGUGAGCCAUGUUUGCACCACUGCACUUCAGCCUGGGUUGUCAUCUUCAUACCAAAAUCUACUUUAUUUGCACAUCAGUCAUAAAGGUGUUUUACCCAUUUGGCUUAUUUGUGUGUUUAAAAUUAAAACUCAAGCCAUUUUCCCUCUCCAGAAAAUGUGACUUGUGUAGUAUGACAUCUUACUGGAGUUGGGGGAAGGCUUGGUGGGCACCUGAAUAAACAUCGAUCUGGGGAAGAUGCACCUGGAGGGCUGCCUGGACAAGUCCCUGACGCUACUAGAUUGCCUACUUUCAAAGGACUAGGAAACAUUUUUUCAGCUUUAAAAGAUUUAAAAGCCGGUGAUAUUUCAGAAUAGUGCUGAAAGAGCCCUGCUGUUGAAUGAACAUUGGGAGCACCGCAUGUGGGUUGUGGCAAACCCUUUAUCCCAUGAGGCCCUCUCUUCUCCAUGCCUCUAAGUUCUACAGACCAUCAGUGCCGCCCCUGAAAUGUCCUGUCUUAAAUAGAAUGCCUUGAACCAUACCUCUGCAUCAAAAAUGUGGAGCCGGGGGAGCUCCAAGGACUGGGGAUUCUCUGUGCCUUCAAAAUGACAAGUUAGAAGUACUAAGGUAAAAGCAGAAAAGCAUCUGUGAGGGACUAACUUCAGGUGGUGCCUCUGAUUAGCAGCCAUCUCAUAGUAAAUCUUCCAAAUAAUUAGGAGGGUCACUGCUUUGUCAGGACAAUUUAUACCCUUUCUCAAUUAGCAAAUUGUGUGGCAAUCCAAAGUUAACUGGAGUGUUGCUCCCCUUUUCUAUUUUGCUCCCGUGUGGAUGUGGUGCAAGAAGGCCUGCCAAGGUCAGCCUCCCGUUUUCCUCCGUGGGUUGGUAUAGACAUGUUUGUUGGCCAGACAUUGCCUAAAGCCCUGUAGUCAAGGGUGGUGUGCUUGCAUUUGCCUGGCUGAAUUAAGGCUCUUGGUGCUUUUCUAUCAGUCGAAUCCCUUCUCCUCCAUGUCUUCUAGAAAUGAUUCUGUUGGGUUUUCCAGAUGGAAAAUUAUAUUACUUACAAAUCAGGGUGAUUUUUGGCUCUAUUUUUAUAUGACUUUUUUCUAUUUUUAUAUGACUUUUUUUCCUGUUGUAAUAUUUUGCUUGUAAUUUCUAGAAUGAUACUGAAUAGCACUUUUGGUGAGCAUCUUUGGCUUAAUCCUCCCUUUAGCCUUUAGCACUGUUGGCUUUAGUCACUUUCUGCAUAUUGCCAAAUUGCUUUUUGGAAAGCUGCACUAGAAUUGGAGAGUGCUUGUCACCCAUGUCCACACCCAAGCUUAGUGACCAGAGCAUUGUGAAGGGUCUUUCCAAUUUGUGGCUCUUGUCAUUUUAAAAUUAAAUUUGGGUUUGCCAUUUAUUAUUUUUUUCUAGAAAUUCUCGAGUCUGAGAAUAUGAGAAUAGAGUUGGCCUAGGUUCAUACAUUGUUUUGUUCUCACCAGAUAAUUACACAACUUUUUCUUCCUAUUCCAAAGUAACAGUGUUGUGGAGUGGAAAUUACUGUUGUUAAUUUUAGCACCAUAGUUUGGUGGAAAAAAGUAUGGGUCUUGGAGCCAGAUAUCAGAACUAAGCUAUGUCACUAAUAGCCUAGUGACUUUUCAUAACCUUACUUAAACUCUUUGAACUUUAGUUUCAGCAUUUGUAAAAAAAAAAAAAGUGAAACCCUGUCUCUAUUAAAAAUACAAAAAUUACCCAGGCAUGGUGGCAGGUGCCUAUAAUCCCAGAUACAUGGGAGGCUGAGGCAGACCACGCCUGGCCCCACAUUAAAAAUUUUGAAACGGUAGCUUUGAUUCAGGUGUAACUGUCCUCCUAAAGAAAAAUAAAAUGUUCUGAGAAGUUUUAGUUUAAAGUUGGAAAGCACUGAGAAUAAAUCUGUUUUGGGGGAAACAUUGAAAUGCUACGUUUGAAAAUCUGUAGAAUUUGCUUCAGGUGAGACAAAGGAUGGGGUAAGUCAUUGAAAGGACUCACUGGGACACAUGUGCAGUGGAGGGUUUAAAAGUAUUUGCGGAAAAAUAUUUAGAACGUUUAAUUUCUAAAUAACGAGUGGCUACUGAGAGUAUUCCAGCCUUCAAAGGCAGGCUCUGAGUGCAAAUUUGAACCAGCCUCGGGGCAGCCAUUAAAACUAAUUAGGAAACAAAACUACCUCAUGCUCAGUGAAUAUUUGUAGGUUCUGGAAAAUUCUGAAAGGAAAGGAGUGAUUCUAAUUAGAAGC